GAACAAGAUCAAAGCAUGAAGGAACCAACAGGAACCGCCAGAGAUGCUCUGGAAACCUGACAUGACACCAGAACUACGAACAGAACUACACUAGGAUCUGGCAAGGACUAACUGAAGCAGAGAGGCUUCAGUGUUGGGGAGGAUGAUCACCAGAAACGGGUGCCAGUAGUCCGUGUCGCUGUAAUGUACUCGCCUCAGUAAUACGCAGUAAUAACAGCCGUGCUCUGGGUCAAAAGGUCAGGAGAUGGGAAUCCUGCUCUCACUGCUGUUCUUCAUCCUCUGCUGUGAUAUGAAACAUCAUCUGUCUCUCCUAAUCUCUUCCUCCAACACAUUGUAUUCAGCUUCAAUAAAUAUCUGCUGUGGAUAAAUAGUGUUUUGCAGCUUUAAGUGCUCGUGUGUGUCAGAUCAAAGUCAGUCCCAGAAAAACAUAUUUUGUGACAACUGGUCCUUUCAUAUUUUCUGAUGGAAAUAACCGCAUUGAUCUCAUGUCAGUAUCAUUAUUGGAAACAAUCAGUUUAUUGAAAACAUGCCGACUGAAUGUUUUAGUCACUGGAACAUUUUUUAUUGAUGUCAGAAGCUACAAGAAGAACAAACCAAUUCAUUGAAUGAGAAUGUUUCACUAAGGGAAACAUAUUUAGAUGAAUUACAUACAGUGAUGCUUUCUUUUCCUUUUGCUGUUGAAGCUGUUGCUGAACUGCAAACCUUUAUUAAGAGAUUGCUGCAUCCCGAGUUUAAUCCCAGCAGCUCUUAGACUCUGGAAUAAAACAAGGUUCACUUAGCGCCGCUAAUGUUUUUGACAAAAGACAGCUUAUAAUUUGUGAUUAAACAGCUAUUCAAAUAAUUGUGUUAUUAUUAUUAAAUAAUCAGUAUUUCUAUUUACUUUUCAAGGUUUUCAAAUAAAGAAAAACAAACUUUUGUGGAAAUGAGAAUAAAUACAUUUUAUUUUGAAAGAUGGUUGAUAUUUGUGGAAAAUGAUGUAGAAAAAAAAACAAGUUUUCAAACUAAAGUCAGUAGUAAUAACGUCAGGUUAUAGAUGACGACUCUAAAAGCAUCACUGCUCCCAAAAAACUGUUUACAUUCCUGCUGUUAUUUGCACAAUUUCUUUUAUUUCUUACAACUUUACAACCACAUUUUGGACAUUUCUUUUCCUCAGAACAUGCCGUUUUACUCACUGCUCUGUAUUUUCAUACUGUGAACGUUCCCUUACUGUACAAUACCUGCAUAUUUUCCAAAAGAUGCUUUUUAUUCUGACAUAAGAACCUCAUCUGAACACAUCUUCUAAUUUAUUGAAUAUUUCUGUAAAUGUCAAGUCAUUCUCACUUUUCCUCACUGUAUGCUUGUUUCAGUGCUAACAUUCACACUGAAAUUGAUGAGUCAUUUUCUUGCCUUUGUCCUUUGAAAUGUUUCCAUUUGUUGUUUCCUGAUGGCGGAUCUGAGCAGGCGGUUGGUGAGAUGAUGGGAUGAGUCGGUGGCCGGCGCAGCAUCAGCAGCAAAUCGUUUCACUUAACCACAGCCUGGAGAAUCUCUGAGGUUUGCCACAGGGACCUUUGACCUCUGCGCCGGUCCUUCCUGUUGCCACCACUGUCUAAAGCUGCGUUUAUGGAUGCAUCAGGAAACUUUAACUUACUGAUCAGCUGAGGUGUGCAGCAUUGUUUGCUCCACAGCCAGGACUGUCCUUGAUUGUCACUCAGUUCAGGUUCCACUGCCACCUGGAGGAAUGAUGAGUUUUCCUCUAAUGGCUUCUAAAGUAGCUUCCCGCAGUGGGAGCGUCGGCAGCCAGCAUAUGGUGCCCUGUUGUUCACAAAUGGCUGAAUGGGAAAAACAGGGAAAUAUUUCAGGAUAAAUGAAGCAGUUUGGGUUUUAUUUGGGCUGCCAUGGAAACGUCUCUGUUGUGAUUUUUACUUUUAAACCUAUGCAUGUUGCAGCUCUGCAACCAAAAGUUAAUAUAAAGCUUUAGGUUCAGAUGGAAAACAUUUUGACUGUUGGACACGCUCAGUGUGGAUGAUUCAUGAGGAAAGCUUUGCAUUUGCAGAGGCAAAAGACUGAAAGAAAAUAGAUCUACUUUUAUUUUUAGGUAUCAUCCAUUUCUCCAUGUGAUAUCUGCAAAGCUUUGUGACAAGGUCAUGCAUCACAGACAUCCCUGCGCUCAUCCAUCAAUGAUCUAAAUCCGUCCUGAGACCAGAUGGGAUUUUUUACCCACCUUCUCUCAUAAUAUACAAUGGAAGCCUAAAGAAAAAAGCCAAAAAAACUACAACAAAAAUUCUCUUAUUGUUUGACAUUAAAACAGGCAAAACGUUUUGUGUUACUUUAUUGAUCCCAAAGGAAAAUGAGACAUUGUUAUGGGGAUGUCCUGGUCUUUUAUUCUUCUCAGAUUGUUUCAUAACAUUCAAUUUAAAUAGAGAUUUAUGUGGAAGGAUUUUAAGACAGAAAACAUUAAACAUCAGGAUCAGAAAUGUAAAAGUCUGGUUCAUCCUUGGAUUCACUUUUCAGAUGACUAAACAAAGUAGAGCCAGAUCUUUAAUGCAUUCAUUUCUAUUAAUUAAUUACUUAGAUUUUCAUGUUUUUAAAUUUUUUUUUUUUUACAUACAAAAGUCUCAGGCUGGAUUUUUUUGUUUAGUCGUUAGUUUGUAGUACGCCACUACUAGAAACUAGAAACUUCUAAAGUUUUAGGAAAAACAAACGCUAACAUUGAUAAAGCUCAUUAGCUUUCUGACAGAACAAAAUGAGAAAUGCACAAUUAUCUGUCUGUCACUAACAUGUGAUGGGUGUUUGGUUUGUUUAAUGUAGAAGAGUAAUGGACCAGGAAGUGACCCUGUGGAACCACAGAAAUACUUUUUCUUGAUGAAAACCAGCUGAGAACCAAAGACGGAGAACCCAAUGUCGUUAUCCACAGUGUGAAAGUCCCACUGAGUCCAACUGAACUCUGUUACUGUUGGACUUAUUAACCCAUUUUUACACAGCAACAGGCUCCAAACAUGAUGGAUAUGUUUGAUUUUUACAGAAAUGUAUUCAUCCAGUCGUGUGUGGAAAAGUAUUUUAUUUCGGAAUCAGAGUUCAGAUGAUAUUUUAUCCUUGUUUAACUGCAGAAAAUAAAUGGUUUAUAUAAUAAAAAGCA